rnacentral:rRNA from 1 species
UACGUAGGGUGCAAGCGUUAAUCGGAAUUACUGGGCGUAAAGCGUGCGCAGGCGGUUUUGUAAGUCUGACGUGAAAUCCCCGGGCUCAACCUGGGAACUGCAUUUGUGACUGCAUCGCUGGAGUGCGGUAGAGGGGAUGGAAUUCCGCGUGUAGCAGUGAAAUGCGUAGAUAUGCGGAGGAACACCGAUGGCGAAGGCAAUCCCCUGGGCCUGCACUGACGCUCAUGCACGAAAGCGUGGGAGCAAACAGG